rnacentral:rRNA from 1 species
CAAAAACAUGGCUCUUUGUGUUGAUGAUAAAGAGUCGGACCUGCUCUAUGAUUUUUGAUUAAAUGGCCGCGGUACCCUGACCGUGCAAAGGUAGCAUAAUCACUUGCCUUUUAAUUGGAGGCUGGUAUGAAUGGUUGGACGGGGGGUUAGCUGUCUCUAUUAUACUAUGAGAAUUUAAUUUAUAGGUGCAAAAGCCUAUAUUCUAUUAAAAGACGAGAAGACCCUAGCGAGCUUUAUUCUAUUCGUGAUACUGUUGAUCAGGAGAGAUUUUGGUUGGGGCGACCGAGGAAAGAAGCAUCCUUGAUUUAUAGUAUAAUUAUGGUUACAGAUCCAGCUAGUGUUGAGAGACAGGUGAGCUACCGUAGGGAUAACAGCGUAAUCUUUUUAGAGAGUUCUAAUCGAAAAAAGGGUUUGCGACCUCGAUGUUGGACUAGGAUAACCUAAGGGUGUAGAAGCUCUUAAGGGUUGGUCUGUUCGACCAUUAAAAUCCUACRUGAUCUG